UUCUAAUAUGGCAGAUUAGUGCAA
rnacentral:tRNA from 1 species